GGGUUGUGAGGUUAAGCGACUAAGCGUACACGGUGGAUGCCCUGGCAGUCAGAGGCGAUGAAGGGCGUGCUAAUCUGCGAUAAGCGCCGGUAAGGUGAUAUGAACCGUUAUAACCGGCGAUACCCGAAUGGGGAAACCCAGUGUGACUCGUCACACUAUCAUUAACUGAAUCCAUAGGUUAAUGAGGCGAACCGGGGGAACUGAAACAUCUAAGUACCCCGAGGAAAAGAAAUCAACCGAGAUUCCCUCAGUAGCGGCGAGCGAACGGGGAGGAGCCCAGAGCCUGAAUCAGCAUGUGUGUUAGUGGAAGCGUCUGGAAAGGCGCGCGAUACAGGGUGACAGCCCCGUACACAAAAGCGCAUAUGCUGUGAGCUCGAUGAGUAGGGCGGGACACGUGGUAUCCUGUCUGA
rnacentral:rRNA from 1 species